rnacentral:rRNA from 1 species
GUGGGGAAUCUUAGACAAUGGGGGAAACCCUGAUCUAGCCAUGCCGCGUGAGCGAUGAAGGCCUUAGGGUUGUAAAGCUCUUUCAGCUGGGAAGAUAAUGACGGUACCAGCAGAAGAAGCCCCGACUAACUCCGUGCCAGCAGCCGCGGUAAUACGGAGGGGGCUAGCGUUGUUCGGAAUUACUGGGCGUAAAGCGCGCGUAGGCGGACCAGAAAGUUGGAGGUGAAAUCCCAGGGCUCAACCUUGGAACUGCCUUCAAAACUCCUGGUCUGGAGUUCGAGAGAGGUGAGUGGAAUUCCGAGUGUAGAGGUGAAAUUCGUAGAUAUUCGGAGGAACACCAGUGGCGAAGGCGGCUCACUGGCUCGAUACUGACGCUGAGGUGCGAAAGCGUGGGGAGCAAACAGGAUUAGAAACCCGGGUAGUCC